rnacentral:lncRNA from 1 species
UUCAAACCCCAACUUCACAGAACUAUAGAAAAUGAAGAGAGAGACAGAAGGAGAAGAUGAUAUACUAGUAAUGGUAGAGUUUCAUUUAUCCACGCAACUGAGACACAGACCAGGCCUUGGAGACAUGGCCAUGGAGAAAACACAUUUGACACCAAACACCAAACCUCAAGCCACAAGUGAUAAUACAAAGGACACAAACUUAAUUAUUUGACACACAAGUACACAACCAACGUUAUUCUUUAAACCCUCAAAUGCAAUUCCUCCUAUAUCAUCAGCCAUCACAUCUUAUUCUUUCUUAUAUCAUGUGCUUACUGGCCACAGGUGCAGUCAAUACAGGCGCAGCUAUCACCACACUUGCAGCUGCCCUCGUGCUGGGCUGCUGGAACCUCCAUCACAACGGUCGCAACAUAGCUGCAAAAACACAACAACACCCAUUAUCAUCAUCAUCAUAUCUUCUUUCAUAGAAAACAAAAACGGAAGAAGAAGAAGAAGAAGUUGUUUUCUUCCUUGAAAUAUAUUAGGGUUCUUGAAGUACUGCAGGAGGGUUUUAGGUUUACCUCUUCUCGGUCUCUACGAUGUCGAUUCCAUAGCUGUUUCCCUUCUUCCUGAAAUCACACAAGAUUUAUUAGUCCAUAGCAACCUUUGUUAUGGAAACAUUGGCAGAACCUUGAUGCUGGGUAGCCAUGAAAGCCAUGCAUAAAUACAAACGCUAGUAUUGAACCAGUAAGAGUAUAUGGGGCACUUACACGCACUGGCUCUUGUCAGCGCAGUCGCAGUUGCCGCAGGUCGACAUGGUUGAACGUAAAAACUGGGGAAAGUCGGAAGUAAGACAAGGGUGUUUUUAGAUGGGUUUGUGGGUACUGCUUGCUUGCUAUGCUAUGCCUCCAAGGAGUGAUAUUUAUAGGUGGAGGGAUGGAGAUGAUAAUGGAGAGUGGUGGGGCAGAGGCCAUGAGAGGAGCACACGCCUUUCGCCGGAAGCAUCCGAAGGAAUCUUGAUAAUGGGAGGUGGUGGCCUGUUAUGCUCCUCUCACGUCAACUUCAUUUCUCUUCUGCACAACAUGCCUUUCUGGAGAUAUACAUAUCUUCCGUCUUCCCUGAUCCAUCCAUAAAACGGCCUCUCAGCCCCACACUCCUCACAGUCGGCUUGUGGCACACGCCACCAUGACAUCUCGAUCACAACCCUUCUGAGACUGAUUUUGAGAGGUUCAUACUAUGCUUCCUCGAAAAAUAUUAAGCCCCUAUUUGAUAAUUUUA